GCCUCCUUAGCUCAGUGGUAGUAAGUUUCCCACAUUCACAAAAUAGGCUUAUUUAUAUAUCUAACCUUGAAAAUAGGAGCGCAUCACUUGUAAUGAUGAGGUCGCGAGUUCGAUUCUCUCAGGUGGCA